rnacentral:rRNA from 1 species
UAAACGUCCCAGUUCGGAUGUAGUCUGCAACCCGACUACAUGAAGCCGGAAUCGCUAGUAAUCGCGGAUCAGAAUGCCGCGGUGAAUACGUUCCCGGGUCUUGUACACACCGCCCGUCACACCAUGGGAGUUGGAAAUGCCCGAAGUCAGUGGCCCAACCGGAAGGGGGGAGCUGCCGAAGGCAGGUUCGAUGACUGGGGUGAAGUCGUAACAAGGUAUC